UGCUCUUCUGAUCUAGAAAUUGUAUCCAAGAAAUUGUGAGACUGAGCUUUGUAUUCUGGAGAGUUAAUGCGGUGUCUCACAGCUUCUCAGAAGACUCACAGUAUAACUAAACAUUAUAUAUGAGCCUUUGUCUGUUAAUUUAUCAGACUUUUAAAGGGAAUUCAGCUUUAUAACUCUCAAUAUUUGAUCACACUUCUAUAUUUGUCCUAGAAUGAUGGAGAAAGGGAACGACUGUUAAUUCAUAAGUAAAGACUUUGCAGAAAAUUAGGCAGUGUUUUGUUUUUGUAAA